rnacentral:misc_RNA from 1 species
GAAAUGCGAUAAGUAAUGUGAAUUGCAGAAUUCAGUGAAUCAUCGAAUCUUUGAACGCACCUUGCGCUCCUUGGUAUUCCUUGGAGCAUGUCUGUUUGAGUAUCAUGAAAUCUUCAAGGUAAAUCUUUUGUUAACUCAAUUGGUUUCUACUUUGGUAUUGGAGGUCUUUGCAGCUUCACACCUGCUCCUCUUUGUUCAUUAGCUGGAUCUCAGUGUUAUGCUUGGUUCCACUCGGCGUGAUAAGUUAUCUAUCGCUGAGGACACUGUAAAAGGUGGCCAAGGUAAAUGCAGAUGAACCGCUUCUAAUAGUCCAUUGACUUGGACAAUACUUUUAUGAUCUGAUCUCAAAUCAGGUAGGACUACCCGCUGAACUUAAGC